UUAUCCUUCAUCCUUUCGGAAGUUUCGAUGUAAGGAUUCCUUUACUAACACAAUGCAGCCAACUCCAUUUGUU
rnacentral:tRNA from 1 species